UUCUUCUUCUUCUUCUUCUUCUCAGAUUCAACUACACCAGUAAAUAUACAUACAUAAAAAAGAGAGAGAGACGAAAAGUUGGUCGCCCUGAUUAACAGUUUAUUAAAAUAUCUGGGUGAAUUUUCACAGAGAAAAGAGAGAGGUGGUUUUCUGAGUUGUGUGAAGAUUUGUAAUGGUUUUUGCUUAAAUUAAGCAACUUUUAGC